rnacentral:lncRNA from 1 species
GACUCUUCACCAGAGUCACAAUCCAAUUGGACUCUUCAGCCAUCAGAUCUGAUCAAAUCUUCUAAUGCAUGUGACCCUAUAGAUCCGAACCUAAGUCAAUAGUAUAGGAUCAACUUCUUAUACUAAUUGAUGUAACUAUCUAGCAAUGAUGACCCGACAAUCGGAUAGAUCGAAGUAUUGCAAAGCAACCUUCUAGAACCUACUGCCAUAUGGUUAUCGUAUAAUUCAUCCUUUUGAUCCAAAUGCUCAAGGUGAUCUAGGGUUUAACUAUCAAUCCUAAUUAAGUCGACCAUAUUAUAUUUUAACUUUUUAAAUCUAUCUCAUGGAUUAUCCUAGCCAAGAUUUUGCUAAAUUGAAAUACACUAAUGCAUAUCUCCUAUCAAUUUAGAGGGUUCAAUUCCAUCUUGACUCACACACCGACUUGAUAAGUACUUGACUGCACCAAGUAUCUUUUCAUCACUAAGUUAGAAACUUAGAUAGUCUGGUAUUAAAGUAUAGUAAGUUGUUUACAAGUCACCGUGGUGGUUUCAGGUCGGAGGGACACUUAUAUCCAUACCCUUCAUGAGCUACUCU